rnacentral:tRNA from 1 species
GCCGAAGUGGUGAAAUUGGUAAACACAAUUGACUCAAAAUCAAUCGUCUCGUGUGGAUUUGCCGGUUCGAGUCCGGCCUUCGGCA